AUGUGAGUCAUGUUGUCUAGUGACGCGCGAGUAGUCUGUUCGGCUUUUCUUUUAUUAUUGUUGCUGAAAGGCCACGAAACAUGGUCGGGUAGCCAUAAGGAUACGUCUCUUCUCACAGAGAUGGGUCGAACAUUAGUCUCUGAACUCGUGCGUAAAGCAGACACAGUAUGGGGUUUAAAAGACGACUUCGGGAAGUACAAAGCUUUUAGCAUUGGAGAAAAAGUAUAUCUUAUGCGCACGAAAAUGGCACAAAUUGUUCGAAUUUCUUUUCGAAAUCAACGUACGGAUCCUAAUUGGACAACCGCUCAGCUGAUACAGAAUUUGACAAAUAUUCAAAGAAUGUGCCAGGAACUCUAUCUUUUCAUGGAGGAGUUGAUAAAAUAUGAUAAUGAAAUGAUGUCUCAAGAUAAAAUAAGCAAUGUUUCGAGAAUUGCAAUUGGCGAAAAUUGCCAGCUGGCCGGGUCGAUGGCGAUACCACCAUCAGUGCUGGACCAAUAUCGCCGCCAACUGGUCGACGCCAGAAGACAACACAUUAUAAAGACUUAUCUGCAGAGGUCACAAAAACCUCCGAUCGACGUUGGGAAGCAAAAAAGGGAAUCUCUUAUCACAAAACUCACUAGAGCACCCAAUAUUCAAGACCAAGAUGCCGAUUUUAUGGAUCUCGCGCCAGAUUUUAUGUAAAUCAGGUACUUAUUAAGUACUCGUAAUAUCACUGGUAAAUAAAAUAAUAAUUACAUUUAUAACUUCCUACUCACUUAACUCAUUCGAUG